AGAGAGAAGAAAAGCAUUGAAAGGCAAAGCUCAGCAAAGCAUUUCACUUUCAGCUCUAAUUUCAGAAGCCCAGAGUCCACCGCUCCAGCGUGAGUGGGAAGCAGUGUCCUGGGCUGGGGGCGUGUGACUGGCAUUUGGGAAGGGAGAGCCUUAAUACUGUCUCAGAAGGCACUCGGCUUUCAGUGGAGGUAAAGGGAGGCCUGGCAUGCUGCAGUCCAUGGGGUCGCAAAGAGCUGGACAUGACUGGGGGACUGAACAACACCAUCACCGUGGCGUAUCAUGGAAAACGAGGCACAGCCACGCGGGGCAGAAGUGCCCUGGGAUCUUACCACCCGGCCCUGCUACCAUCGACCUCAGAUCAGAACUAUGGCCUCAGUUUCCUCACCUGUAAAGGGAGGGGACAUGAUGCAAUUCCUUCUCACCUUUUCCUCCAGGAGAAGAGGACACAGACACCUGCCCACGAACUAGCCCAGCCCCACAGGGGAUGCUGUGUGGUUUUCAACAAGAGAGGCAGGCGAAACGGUGAACAAUGAUUGAAUCAAAGCCGCCCUCAGCAGCCUCCCCCAACUCCACCCCAUCUGAGAACAGCCCUGUUUCAAUUUCACCACUGAGUUCAGCCUGCCUGCUCCAGACGUCCAGACCUCGCACUCUAUAAAUCGUCUCUGCCCUUGCCCUGGAGUUGCUGACUAUAUGUAUUUUUGGGCCCAGCAUUAAUUCCCUCAUCCUUGGCUGGUGACAUUAAGAUUUGUAACUGAUAGAAUGUGUUUUUAAUGUAUUUCCUGCAGGUUACUAUUAAAG
ensembl:lncRNA